rnacentral:lncRNA from 1 species
CGGUGAGGUGGGGUCGUGCUGCCCAACGGCGACGUGAUGCGGCGGGGCACAGAAAUAGGUGCGCGGUAGGACAAGGCGGUAGGGACGGGUCAUGUGUUCACUGGUGUCACUCGCGUUAGUUCUGUCACACCAGAAAUACGUCCUGUUUCUCACCGGUGUGUAAUGGAUGUGGGGCUUUCCUCACAGGGUGCGUCGCCUGCACGAGUUCUUUUGCAGAUGUACGUUCUGUAAAAUAAAAGCUGAAGGCAGCAGAGACACGCUGCAAGUGACAGGAUGGAUUGGUUGAUCUGCCUGGCUGAUUGCAGACAAACUGCACAUCAGAUCUCAUCUCUUCUUAGCGAAGGAAGAGCGAGCCCCUAAAAGAGCCGUGGCUGUGAUCCCUCUGCCCUCAGAGCCGGUGCUGCCCAUGGGGAACGUGCUCGAAAUCCCACCUGUGUUUCCAAACUGACGUUAAAUUACUGCAGACGUCUCAGUAUUUGCUGUGCACGGACAUAUCUUCUGUUGGAAAACAACACAUUGCGGUGAUGGAAAAUAACCUGAAUUCUUCCAUGCCGUUAACUGCAGGAGGUUUUCUACCCGAAGGGCCACGUCUGGCAGACAGGCUGGUGGGGCAGCACAGCCCAGUGCUGGGCUUUCAGGGCCGUGCACACAGCUGCUGGCUGGGGCUGAACCAGACGGAGCCAUGGCUGUAUGGCUGCGUGGCUGUUUGGCUGUGACUGUGUGACUGUCAGAUGGCUGUUCUGUACAGAAAGGGCUCUUCACCACAGCCUGUGCUCUGGGCUUUCUUCACACACUUUGCUGCACCUUGGGACGGGCCCCACGGUGGCUCUGAGCCUCACAACGGGCCCUGCUGCUGCCCCAUCCCCACGCCAGGCCCUGCAAGUCCACCACAGCAGCAAGCUGCACCAGGGCAGGUGACACCUAUAUGCAAAACAAUGACUGCUCCAGUUUUGAGUGGACUCUUCCCAGACAAGGUUGAUGGUCUGAUCCUAUUUCUGAUUUGAUAACAAGCCUUUUGGUUCACAUUCAUAAGAAGUGAGUGAUGAACACGACAAGCAGAACCAAGGGGGCCCUGCCUGCAGUCUUCAGGUAGAGGAGGACCGCCAGGUUUAUUGCACAGCCUCCUUUCCACAGGCUGGCACAUGAGAACUGCAGGAGUACAAGGCUCUGGUGGACAGCACACAGCAUACUGUAGUGCCAUCAAGCUAUAGAGGAGCGGAACUCUUCCUGGAGUAGUGAUGGAGGAUCCCAACAGCUAACUGUAUUGGAGGCUGAAGUGAGCCCAAUUGGGAAGGAGUGGCAAAACACCCCAUUGUGACCAACCCAGAGGCUCUGUGCAACGUUGGCAUAGAUCACCUCACAGGAAGACACCUCAAGGACUCAAACCAUGGCAUAGAUCACCUCACAAGAAGACACCUCAAGGACUCACUUGGUUUAACCUGACAGACAGCACGAUGAGAAAUCUGGCAAUGCCAGAGUGCCACUUGGGCACCAGCUGCUGCAGGCCUACAGCAGCAGACACUGCUCCAGAGGGCCAACAGGGCCACUGUCGCUGCUGCGAGGAGCUUGGCACAGAAGAACAUCCCUGGAGCAGCGAGCUAAGUGCACUGAGAUGUUUGAAGAUGUCCUCAGCCAUCUUCAGCCUGAAGCACCACUGAGACCCGCAGCUGCUGCAGAACACAAUGAAGCUACCAGAGAUGCUAAUGGAGGAGCUGAAGGGUUCAUAGGCAGAAAGCAAGGGGUGUGCUGUGGAGCCUACAACCAUGGAUUGCAGGAGUGCGUUUCUUAAAGCCAACAGAAUGGCAUCUUUUUUGAUGGGAAUAUAACAGUGGGACUUCAAAGCAUGACCAGCGCCCAGCGUUCAAAACAGCAUGCGAGCAGGAUACAACUUCAAGGGGGAGGAGAAACAAAGAGGACACCUGGGUUUGGGGUGCUGGGCCUCUGCGCCAUGCACCAAGAGCCAC